AUGGACGAGGAUACAUAUACCGAUAUAUACGCCGAUACUGACAUCGAUACAAGUGCCGAUACAGGAGUCGAUGGAUACGCCAAUACAGAUAUAGGCAACGGACAUAAGAACAAAACAAGUGAAGACAUAAAUAGCGAAAUGUAUAGCGGUAAUGAUGCACUGGAUUAUAAUAAAAACAGUUACAUCAAACACAUCAACAAGAACAAACUAGAUAGCGAUAUAGUCAACGAUAUAGUCAACAAAAGUGAUAAAACAGAAAAAAGAAGCAGAAUAAAUGUUAUUGUCUAUGGUCCAGAUAAAAAGAAAGCAGAAUGUGAAAUAGUAAAAGAUCAGUUAUAUUAUUUGCUUCAUUCUAUUAUGGAUAAUAUUUUUAUUAAACAAUAUAAAUUAUGUGUUAAGUCUUCUAAUACAGUAUACUCAAAAGAAGAUAGUAACACUAUUUAUGUUUCAUAUGAAUUUGAAAAAGAUAUUUAUUAUUAUAAAACAUCCAUUAAUUGUUUACAUGACCUAAUUUUAUUUACUGAAAAAUUAAAAAAAGUUAUAGAAAAAAAAAUAAAUAUAUUAUUUAAAGAUGAAGAAGAAAAUGAAAAUAUACAAUAUAUUAAUAAAAAUUUAAAAAAAAAAUUUGAAAUGAAUAAAAAAGAAAGAACGAUUACAAAUUUAUCAAAAAAAAAUAUACAAGUAAGUAUAGAAUCUUCUUUAAAAUUAGUUGAACAAUGUUUAAAAAAAAUAUAUACUCAAAAAUUUGAAAUAACAUUACACGAUUUAAAACUUGCUUAUAAUAUGUUACCAUGUAAAUAUUACGGUUACUUUUUAUCUAAAAUUUGCGCACAUAUAUCCAUGUUAUCUUAUUAUAUUAAUGACUUACAAGGUACUUUCCAUUUUGCACUUAAAUCAAUUAAAUAUGAACCACAAUAUUGUUUAGCUUGGAAAUGUUUAGGAGAUGCUUAUCGUAGUUCUCGCAAAUUUUGGCAAGCAAAAAACUUUUAUGAUAUUGCUAUGUACUUAGGAUAUAAAGACAAAACAGGAGAAAGUUUUAACGAAAUAACACAUCAACUAGCUAACUUAACAGAAAAUGCUUUAAAAAAUGUUUCUUUGUUAAAACAAAAUAUGAACAGUCAUGUUAAUAUUAUAGUUAAAAAAAAUAUUGGAAUAGUAUUAAAUAAAAAUCCGGAUUCAAUUGGAGGAUGCUACGUUUCUUACAUUAUUGAAGGAGGAAAAGCAAGUAAAAAAAAUUUUAAUCAUGGUGAUCAAAUUAUUGCAUUAAAUAAUAUUGUCACGUAUGGACAACCAAUAGACUUUUGUUUAAAAUCAUUUCAAAAAAAUAAUGGCGUUUAUGAUAUUAUUUUUUUUAAAGGUAAUAUUAUUGAAUUGUAUGGUUUGAAAGCGUACAAAUAUUUAAUAGAGAAUGGUUUAUUUUAUACACUUUUCGAAAAUGAAAAAAAUAGCUUCUUUUAA
rnacentral:lncRNA from 1 species